rnacentral:rRNA from 2 species
AGCAGCCGCGGUAAUUCCAGCUCCAAUAGCGUAUAUUAAAGUUGUUGCAGUUAAAAAGCUCGUAGUUGAAUUUCGAGACCGGUUUAUUGGUCGUGCUUUUGUACGUACUGGUAUUAUUGGUUUCUCCUUUCUGACGAAUCUUAAUGCCAUUAAUUUGGUGUUUUGGGGAAUCAGGACUGUUACUUUGAAAAAUUAGAGUGUUUAAAGCAGGCUCACGCUUGAAUACAUUAGCAUGGAAUAACGGAAUAGGACGUUUGAUUCUAUUUUGUUGGUUUCUAGGAUCGACGUAAUGAUUAAUAGGGAUAGUUGGGGGCAUUAGUAUUCAAUUGUCAGAGGUGAAAUUCUUGGAUUUAUUGAAGACUAACUACUGCGAAAGCAUUUGCCAAGGAUGUUUUCAUUAAUCAAGAACGAAAGUUAGGGGAUCGAAGACGAUCAGAUACCGUCGUAGUCUUAACCAUAAACUAUGCCGACUAGGGAUCGGAUGAUGUUAAUUUUUUAAUGUACUCA